rnacentral:rRNA from 1 species
GGGCCCGCACAAGCGGUGGAGCAUGUGGUUUAAUUCGAUGAUACGCGAGGAACCUUACCAGGGCUUAAAUGUAGUGGGACAGGUCUAGAGAUAGACCCUUCUUCGGACUCAUUACAAGGUGCUGCAUGGUUGUCGUCAGCUCGUGCCGUGAGGUGUCAGGUUAAGUCCUAUAACGAGCGCAACCCCUAUCGUUAGUUGCCAGCGGGUAAUGCCGGGGACUCUGGCGAGACUGCCGGUGCAAACCGUGAGGAAGGUGGGGAUGACGUCAAAUCAUCACGGCCCUUACGUCCUGGGCCACACACGUGCUACAAUGGUGGGGACAGAGAGCAGCCACUUCGCGAGGAGGAGCGAAUCUUCAAACCCCAUCACAGUUCGGAUCGCAGUCCGCAACUCGACUGCGUGAAGCUGGAAUCGCUAGUAAUCG